rnacentral:rRNA from 1 species
AACGAACGCUGGCGGCAGGCCUAACACAUGCAAGUCGAACGCAUCGCAAGAUGAGUGGCAGACGGGUGAGUAACGCGUGGGAACCUUCCCAGUGGUACGGAAUAGCUCAGGGAAACUUGGGGUAAUACCGUAUAAGCCCGAAAGGGGAAAGAUUUAUCGCCAUUGGAUGGGCCCGCGUAGGAUUAGCUAGUUGGUGAGGUAAUGGCUCACCAAGGCGACGAUCCUUAGCUGGUCUGAGAGGAUGAUCAGCCACACUGGGACUGAGACACGGCCCAGACUCCUACGGGAGGCAGCAGUGGGGAAUAUUGGACAAUGGGCGCAAGCCUGAUCCAGCCAUGCCGCGUGAGUGACGAAGGCCUUAGGGUUGUAAAGCUCUUUUGGCGGGGACGAUAAUGACGGUACC